rnacentral:sRNA from 1 species
AUCUAGGCGGUGUAACUUUAGAUAAACAAUAUUUUUAAGCGUUCUUUAAUGCAACACAUGAUUAUGAGCUACCAUUUCAAGUUGUUGCGAUGCAAUCGAUCGAUUUCUUGGUUUGCGUUGUUUCUUGGACAAGAAGGAAGAACAAACAGGUCCCCACGCACUCAGAGGAAGCUUGUUGCCCAAUUUGUGAUUUAUGCUAUAUGGAAGCAGCGUUAAAACGUCCUACCCAACCAGAUUCUCAUUUGGCCAUCAAUUAUCUUCAAAAAAAUUGAUAGAGAGAUCAAGAAUUUUAAUCAAUGCCAGAAAGAUAGAUCAAGAAUUUUAAUCAAUGCCAGAAAGAUCAAACAAGCGGUUCACGGUGCUUAUGAGUCUUUGGUGCACUGAAGAUUGACACUUUCCCAACUCUGAAAUCUAUUGAUUUCUUGUUUUUAGCUUUUAUUAGGUUGAGGUCCAUGUAAAAACCAAACUGUUCAUAUCAUAUGAUAUUAACAUUCAUAGCAAAAAAAAAAAAAAAUGGAUAAGGGUGAAUAAGGAGAAAAAAAAACGUCAUGCCAAGUUAGCAACCACCAGAAUAGAUGGAAGCGAAUAAUUGUUUGUUGGGUCAUAUGCAUAUUUCUGUAGAAGUCCAUAAAAGCCUUCUCACAUAUUGUCCAAUCCUUAUACAACUCCUAUGAAC